GGCGCUACAUUGAGCUCGUGUCAGACUGUAUCAUCACUUCUUAUGGCAUUAUUAAUGUCUUUGGUGUAGAUGCUCACAACUUUUUGGGUAGACAUUUAACAUUCGUUUUGAAGUACUAGGCAACUAAUCCUGAAUGAUUUCCCAGGGUCAUAGUCACAUAGGUAGUAAGGAAGCAAUGGCAUUAUUGGCAAUUACACCUGUUUUAAAAAAUAUAUGGUUAUAGCAAGUAUAAGAAUAAUGUAAGUAGGGGAGUGAUACAGCUUCCUGGUUUUCAUUUUUUAUGAGGAAGCUCUGUUAUGUGGAAAGUGAAUAUAUGUUUUACUCACCCCACCCCAAUCUGAAUCCUACCAAAUACUGCCUCUUAUAGGAUCAGAAAAUUUAUUGCUAAGCUCUGACCACCCAUUCCAAGCAAUAAUGUCAGAUCUUCUCUUGGU
rnacentral:lncRNA from 1 species